GACGAACGCUGGCGGCGUGCUUAACACAUGCAAGUCGAGCGGUAAGGCCUCUUCGGGGGUACACGAGCGGCGAACGGGUGAGUAACACGUGGGUGACAUGCCCUCAGCUCUGGGAUAAGCCUGGGAAACUGGGUCUAAUACAGGAUAUGACCUUUACUCGCAUGGGGUUUGGUGGAAAGUGUUUUCGGCUGGGGAUGGGCCCGUGGCCUAUCAGCUUGUUGGGGGGGUGAUGGCCAACCAAGGAGACGACGGGUAGCCGGCCUGCGAGGGCGACCGGCCACACUGGAACUGAGACACCGCCCAGGCUCCUACGGGAAGCAGCAGUGGGGAAUAGUACGCAAGGGGCGGAAGCCUGACGCAGCGACGCCGCGUGGGGGAUGACGGCCUUCGGGUUGUAAACCUCUUUCGACCCCGACGAAUUUGGACGGUAGGUGUAGAAGAAGCACCGGCCAACUACGUG
rnacentral:rRNA from 1 species